AUGAGGCUGUAUGCAACACCGGACGAUUUCGCUAGUGGCAUGAGACUUGUGUUCUCUAAUGCAAUGGAAAUGUAUCCUCCAAGGCAUCAUAUUCACCAAAUUGCAAAAAAGUUCAGUGACAAUUUUGAACACAAAUGGAAGCCAUUGAAGGAUAUAUGGGAACUUGAGGAUAGAAAGAGAAGAAAGGCUCACAAGAGUAGAAGAUACUAA